rnacentral:rRNA from 1 species
UUGGAGGGCAAGUCUGGUGCCAGCAGCCGCGGUAAUUCCAGCUCCAAUAGCGUAUAUUAAAGUUGUUGCAGUUAAAAAGCUCGUAGUUGAAUUUCGGGAACAGAGUGUCGGUCGUGCCUCGGUACGCACUGGUAUUAUUGGUUCCUACCUUCUGAAGAACCGCGAUGUCAUUAAUUUGGUGUCGUGGGGAAUCAGGACUGUUACUCUGAAAAAAUUAGAGUGUUUAAAGCAGGCUUACGCUUGAAUACAUUAGCAUGGAAUAAUGAAAUAGGACGUUUGAUUCUAUUUUGUUGGUUUCUAGGAUUGACGUAAUGAUUAAUAGGGAUGGUUGAGGGCAUUAGUAUUCAAUUGUCAGAGGUGAAAUUCUUGGAUUUAUUGAAGACUAACUACUGCGAAAGCAUUUGCCAAGGAUGUUUUCAUUAAUCAAGAACGAAAGUUAGGGGAUCGAAGACGAUCAGAUACCGUCGUAGUCUUAACCAUAAACUAUGCCGACUAGGAAUCAGACGAUGUUAAUUUUUUAAUGACUCGUUUGGCACCUUACGGGAAACCAAAGUGUUUGGGUUC